rnacentral:rRNA from 1 species
AGAGUUUGAUCCUGGCUCAGGAUGAACGCUGGCGGCGUGCUUAACACAUGCAAGUCGAACGAAGCAGCCAAACGGAUUUCUUCGGAAUGAAGCUUGGCUGACUUAGUGGCGGACGGGUGAGUAACGCGUGGGUAACCUGCCUCAUACAGGGGGAUAACAGUUAGAAAUGACUGCUAAUACCGCAUAUGCGCACAGUACCGCAUGGUACAGGGCGGAAAGAUUUAUCGGUAUGAGAUGGACCCGCGUUGGAUUAGCUAGUUGGCAGGGUAACGGCCUACCAAGGCGACGAUCCAUAGCCGGCCUGAGAGGGUGAACGGCCACAUUGGGACUGAGACACGGCCCAAACUCCUACGGGAGGCAGCAGUGGGGAAUAUUGCACAAUGGGGGAAACCCUGAUGCAGCGACGCCGCGUGAAGGAAGAAGUAUCCCGGUAUGUAAACUUCUAUCAGCAGGGAAGAAAAUGACGGUACCUGACUAAGAAGCCCCGGCUAACUACGUGCCAGCAGCCGCGGUAAUACGUAGGGGGCAAGCGUUAUCCGGAUUUACUGGGUGUAAAGGGAGCGUAGACGGCGUAUCAAGUCUGAUGUGAAAGGCAGGGGCUCAACCCCUGGACUGCAUUGGAAACUGGUAUGCUCGAGUGCCGGAGAGGUAAGCGGAAUUCCUAGUGUAGCGGUGAAAUGCGUAGAUAUUAGGAGGAACACCAGUGGCGAAGGCGGCUUACUGGACGGUAACUGACGCUGAGGUACGAAAGCAUGGGGAGCAAACAGGAUUAGAUACCCUGGUAGUCC